AUAAAUAUAUAUAAAACUUCUCUCUUCUUCCAUUCAAACAGUCACAAUAUUCUAAAGGAAACUCUUUCUCCUUACGCAUAUCAACAAAAAAAAAAAACCCAGCAGUGGAAAAACAAUGAACACAUUUCGGUGUUCUUCCUCACGUCAACCCCAAUUUCGAACAAUACCAAUCACGAAAACCGCAAUCUUGCAAAAUGAAAAACGACCACACUCCCCUCCUGUUUCUAAGCCCCAAAUUAAUUUUAGCACAUCAACAGUUUCUGUUUAACAAAUCUAACUUUCAAAAACAUAUACCCUAGCUCCUAAUCCGUCUUUUACAUCAACAAUCAAUCAACAAAAAUCCUCGAAUUUUAAAGUCGGAUGGUGGUAAAUACACAAAGAAUAUGAUACAGAAGUACUUAAAGCAAAUGAGAAGGGAUUCCACCGGAGCAUCGUAACUCCGGCGAAGGCCUGGAGACCAUGAAUACCUUAGAGUAACGGUGCUUCCUCCAGGGUCCCCUUCUUCAAUGAUUUAAUGCUCCUUUUUAUAGAGUGAAGUAAGGUCCCUAAAUCAUGUGCGGAUCGUUAGUUGGUAGAGGGUGAAAAGAAUCAUUCUGUUAGAAGGGAAUUUUCCUCAGAUUCGGUGGGGACCAAAAUGAUUGUGGUAAGCAUGAGUUUUGUCUGUAGUGAAAUCCUUUAGAAAACAUGGUCCUGGAUUGGGUUUCCUAUUGACUGCCAUAAAAUAUUUACGUGUUGUGGUAAGAUUUCUGUUUUUACUGUUUAUGCAAAGCUCCUAUUUUAACUGAUAUAUUUGAAUGUUCUUUAAUUCAAAAGCUCAAUUUGGAUUCUGAUUUGUGGCUCCCUUUCGACACAUUUGGAGAUUUUGGUUAUGCACGUCGUCCACAACAAUGUCUUCAUUUGCCUAUAGUUUGUCUCAGAUGGUUAGAUGGUGCCCCUUGGAAUCUGCCUGCAAGGAUGAUCUUCAAGGUAUGUCAUUGCAGCCUUGUAUGCACCCUGCAACUGACAUAAAUGCAUGGCUCUUAGUCCCUAGCUUAUGCAGCAUGAGAUUUUGUAGGGUGAUUCAUAGGUAGCUCUGCGAUUAAUCAAUAUGUUGCGACAUAUUUCAAGUGGUUCUGCGGUUACCUUUUUUGAGUUCUACUGAGUUUUGAAGGAUUGUUGAUGCUACAAAGGCAAUGUACACUUUGUCCUAUUGGUUUACAGGGUAGCUGGCUCGAGUUCGGGAAAUAGUCGCAGCCAAAGCUCUAAGCAUCCGCCUUUGCUCACUGAUAUCAUCUCUUAUACGAAACAUCAUUAGCUUCACUUGUCUGUCUUGCAGUUUCAGAGUGAAAUGGAUCGACAUCUGAUGCACUUCAGAGUAGUAUCAUUUGUUUGAUUCCAUCUCUUCAGGAGACAGGCUUGGUUUGUAUUUUCUUCUUUAACUUCAAGUGAACCUCCUUCCAAUGUCAUUUGCUUCAGAGUUGCGGAGGGGGCUUCACCGUCGUUGUCCUCUUUAUCGUCAUCAACUUGUCCUUAAAGUGCGCCAACACCACUAACCACUGUCUCCCCUUCAAAGCUUAUGGUUUUUUUCUUAGGCAGUUCUGGACAGGUUGAGAUGUCAUAUACAAAUGGAUGCACAACCGAACACGAAUGGACCAAACAUGGAAGAUCAAUGAUUGAACGCCUCAUAUUCAUAACUUGUUCUAUCUCGACUCAAGUUAUGUAGCAUGGCGUUAACAUGAUGUAGUAUAAUCAGGACAUUGGCUAGCUUAUGAACAAUCAUUGUAUGCUUGUAAUUUCAAUUGCCAUCCUGUGAUUUGAUGCCCACAUGUAUUCCCUUGGACACUUUUGCCUUACCAUUCUCACUUGAGUGUUGACUUGGACCUUGUAAUAUAAAUUUGGAAUUUGAGUCAUGGGCUUAAGCUGA